ACGAACGCUGGCGGCGUGCCUAAUACAUGCAAGUAGAACGCUGAAGAGAGGAGCUUGCUCUUCUUGGAUGAGUUGCGAACGGGUGAGUAACGCGUAGGUAACCUGCCUUGUAGCGGGGGAUAACUAUUGGAAACGAUAGCUAAUACCGCAUAACAAUGGAUGACACAUGUCAUUUAUUUGAAAGGGGCAAUUGCUCCACUACAAGAUGGACCUGCGUUGUAUUAGCUAGUAGGUGAGGUAAUGGCUCAACUAGGCGACGAUACAUAGCCGACCGGAGAGGGUGAUCGGCCACACUGGGACUGAGACACGGCCCAGACUCCUACGGGAGGCAGCAGGAGGGAAUCUUCGGCAAUGGGGGCAACCCUGACCGAGCAACGCCGCGGGAGUGAAGAAGGGUUUCGGAUCGUAAAGCUCUGUUGUAAGUCAAGAACGGGUGUGAGAGUGGAAAGUUCACACUGUGACGGUAGCUUACCAGAAAGAGACGGCUAACUACGUG
rnacentral:rRNA from 1 species